rnacentral:rRNA from 1 species
ACGAACCGUCCAAACGUUAUUCGGAUUUAUUGGGCUUAAAGGGUAUGUAGGCGGCCCUUCAAGUCGGGUGUGAAAGCCCUCGGCUCAACCGAGGAACUGCGCCCGAUACUGUGGGGCUCGAGGGAGACAGAGGUAAGCGGAACUGAUGGUGGAGCGGUGAAAUGCGUUGAUAUCAUCAGGAACACCAGUGGCGAAAGCGGCUUACUGGGUCUCUUCUGACGCUGAGAUACGAAAGCUAGGGGAGCGAACGGGAUUAGAUACCCCGGUAGUCCUAGCUGUAAACGAUGAGCACUUGAUCGAGGGGCCCCCCAUAGCCUCUCGGUCGUAGCGAAAGUGAUAAGUGCUCCGCCUGGGGAGUAUGGUCGCAAGGCUG